AAGACCUUCAUAAGGGGAAUUAUGUAACACAACAGACGGGGGUUCAUAACAACUACCAUAAACGAAUGAUGUGCGCGUUGUAAUUGACAAUAUAACAGUCGAAAUGGCAGUGCGCGAAAUUGGAAAGUGAUGGGUUGCAGCUGUCAUCGGAGGACUCCAAGAAGCGCGGUAAUUUUCACACAAACA
ensembl:ncRNA F45B8.14 ncRNA